rnacentral:rRNA from 1 species
AACGAACGCUGGCGGCAUGCCUAACACAUGCAAGUCGAACGAGACCUUCGGGUCUAGUGGCGCACGGGUGCGUAACGCGUGGGAACCUGCCCUUAGGUUCGGAAUAACUCCCCGAAAGGGGUGCUAAUACCGGAUAAUGUCUUCGGACCAAAGAUUUAUCGCCUUUGGAUGGGCCCGCGUUGGAUUAGCUAGUUGGUAGGGUACAAGCCUACCAAGGCGACGAUCCAUAGCUGGUCUGAGAGGAUGAUCAGCCACACUGGGACUGAGACACGGCCCAGACUCCGACGGGAGGCAGCAGUGGGGAAUAUUGGACAAUGGGCGAAAGCCUGAUCCAGCAAUGCCGCGUGAGUGAUGAAGGCCUUAGGGUUGUAAAGCUCUUUUACCCGGGAUGAUAAUGACAGUACCGGGAGAAUAAGCUCCGGCUAACUCCGUG